GGCGGCGGCGGCGCCUUCACCUUCGGUGGUGGCGCAGGCUUCCGGAUCUCCUUGGGCGGCGGCGGGGGCGGCGGAG
rnacentral:tRNA from 1 species